GAGCUUCCCCUGAAGAUUGGAGGGGAUGAGUCAGGGGCAAGGAAGGAUUAACAGAUUCUGCCUCAAGUCCUGGUGAACCAACUCCUCUCCCCAAGACAGACACAUACUAGUGAAAUAAAUUGGAUUUAAAUCAUCACCUGAGGCAAUCCUGAAAGAGAAAAGCAGUCCUAGAAAAGAGUGGAGGAAAAGAGGACAGCCCCAUUCUCUUUGUGACCACGAAGACUGCCGCCAUGUGGUUGGGAGCCACGUAACUUCUUUUAGUGCCAGCUGAGAUUCUUCUGCCCUGGAACUAGUUCCUCCGAGUUAUUGCCAGGCCUGGAGAUUGAAUUCCUGCAGCUGGAAGGUGGGGAAAGUUGCCAGAGCGAAGGAAGUAAAAGCAUCCACUAUGAGAUUCACCAGAGGGGUUUGACCAGCUUUAGAAGGAGAAUCCUGGACAACAACACAUGCAGCUGUGAAGGCGACAAGUGUGACACUGACAGCCAACUGAAAUGGAAGGAAUGUGAAGAUGCUGUCAUAAACAUUUCUACCGCAUGUGACAGCUUUAACAAUACUUGCAAGGUCGUCAUCGCAAAAUGUUGUGAGCACCUACCAUAUGCCAGGCACUGUUCAGUGAACUGGUUGUACAGGAGUGAAUGAGAUCAUCUUGAUUUUGAGAAGUUUAUAAUCUACUCAAGGGAAACACGUGUAAUCAACUAUGUUUCAGACAUAACCCCUCAAAACCAAAGCAGAACCUCUUCAAGGAGCUGAGAGAUGCAAGCCUGGCAGAUGACUCCUUUGCCUCUUCC
rnacentral:lncRNA from 10 species